rnacentral:rRNA from 1 species
CACGGGGGGAGCAAGCGUUGUUCGGAAUCACUGGGCGUAAAGGGAGCGUAGGCGGGUUUUUAAGUCAGGUGUUUAAUCCCGGGGCCCAACCCCGGACCGGCACUUGAAACUGGGAAUCUUGAAUAGGGGAGAGGUCAGUGGAAUUGGAGGUGUAGCGGUGGAAUGCGUAGAGAUCUCCAAGAACACCAGUUGCGAAGGCGGCUGACUGGACCCAUAUUGACGCUGAGGCUCGAAAGCAUGGGGAGCAAACAGG